AUUGAACGCUGGCGGCAGGCCUAACACAUGCAAGUCGAGCGGAUGAAGGGAGCUUGCUCCUGGAUUCAGCGGCGGACGGGUGAGUAAUGCCUAGGAAUCUGCCUGGUAGUGGGGGAUAACGUCCGGAAACGGGCGCUAAUACCGCAUACGUCCUGAGGGAGAAAGUGGGGGAUCUUCGGACCUCACGCUAUCAGAUGAGCCUAGGUCGGAUUAGCUAGUUGGUGGGGUAAAGGCCUACCAAGGCGGCUAUCCGUAACUGGUCUGAGAGGAUGAUCAGUCAGAUGGGAAGUGAGACACGGUCCAGACUCCUACGGGAGGCAGCAGUGGGGAAUAUUGGACAAUGGGCGAAAGCCUGAUCCAGCCAUGCCGCGUGUGUGAAGAAGGUCUUCGGAUUGUAAAGCACUUUAAGUUGGGAGGAAGGGCAGUAAGUUAAUACCUUGCUGUUUUGACGGUACCAACAGAAUAAGCACCGGCUAACUUCGUG
rnacentral:rRNA from 1 species